AGAGACAGCAGCCGCCGCGGUAAUACGUAGGUGGCAAGCGUUGUCCGGAAUUAUUGGGCGUAAAGGGCUCGCAGGCGGUUUCUUAAGUCUGAUGUGAAAGCCCCCGGCUCAACCGGGGAGGGUCAUUGGAAACUGGGAAACUUGAGUGCAGAAGAGGAGAGUGGAAUUCCACGUGUAGCGGUGAAAUGCGUAGAGAUGUGGAGGAACACCAGUGGCGAAGGCGACUCCCUGGUCUGUAACUGACGCUGAGGAGCGAAAGCGUGGGGAGCGAACAGGAUUAGAUACCCCGGUAGUCCCUGUCUCUUAUAC
rnacentral:rRNA from 1 species